rnacentral:lncRNA from 1 species
GUUCGGUAUUUUGCUUGCAGUUUUAGUCAUUAUUUUGUUUUUCUGCUUAUGCUCUCAUCUGUGUGAUCGUUAUGUGUUUGUGAUUUCAACUGAACAACAUAAUUUUGAGAGAUUGAAGGAGGUUUAAUCUGCCAAAUAUGUAGUUCUCAUAUAUAUGUGUUUAGGUAUUCUGAUAAUGAACUACAUUUCCAACUAAACCUACAGCCCAACUGAAAAGAAGAGGACAACACAAACGAUCAAUCAAAAAGCAAAAGAAGAUAAACAAGAAAGGAAAGGCUACUACUACUAAGGUACAGAAUGAGAGAGAAACUGCAUCUAAUAUUGUUCAAGAGGGAAAAGAAUCAACACUCUUGGCAGUCCAAUAGUGAAAGAAGGAACACAUUCUAUAACAAAUAUGACAAAUCAAGAGGAAGAUUAAAAAGAACCAAG